CCAUCCCUCCUCACUUCCCUUGAAGCAUAGAGAGAAGCACCCAGAGCAUGGAGGAGACAGAGCAAGGUAAAGCUGACACCAUGUGGAGACAUCUCCUGCUCUCAGCACUGCUUCUCUGGGCCCCAGGUAUAGGCUUGGCCUAUGUGGAGCAGCUGCCCUUCCUCACCGGGGUUCCAGGCGAAUUCCAAAUUCUGCAGUGUACAUUAAAAGAAACCAGCCACUACUGGAUGUACUGGUACUGGCAGCAGGAGGCAGAGGAGCUAGGGCAGCUCUUCUAUUCUUCAGGAGAUGGAUCUGGGACCAACUUCACAGCUGAGCCCAUGUUAGCCUGGAGGAAGAACAACAAUUGGCAUCUACAAUGGAAAAACCUUUCACGAUCAGACUCAGCUGUGUAUUACUGCACCUGCAGCACUGUACAGUGACACAGAGCCCUGAGACAGCCAGCAAAAACCCAGAGAGACAGAGGCAGGGAGUGAAAUAGGGGAGCUGUGUGUGCCUAGGAGUCAAAAGGACACUGUAUGGCAGUGGUUCCCAGAUGAAGUAUCUGGGAUAUACAGAAUGUCUCCCAAAAGGGUGCAAAGAGCCCCUGGAGCCCACAUCCUAGAUCACUAACCUGGUCACACACUUGAGAUGUGACUUGGGCUCUAUUAAUAACAAUGGGAGUUUUGCCACUUGAUUUCAAUGGGGCCAGGAUUUCACUGUUGGGCUUUCAAAAUCAGACAUUGCUCUUUACUGCUUGAACUUCUCUCUCUUGCCUUCCCAAUUCCUUUCAUUCCUUCUCUAUAGUCUCUCAUUCUCCUACUAUUUCCUUUGUUCCAGCUCCCUCACUUUCCAUUCUUUCUCUUCACUUUUUCUGUUUCUUUAAAUCAAACACCCAAAUCCAAUUGCAGAUCCCAGGCCUCAUUUCCCUGUGGUUUGGUCUGACUGUGUCUCUGGGGACUGUUCUGAUGUGGUCUUAUUCACAUGACUGCUGAGCCACAGAUACCUAAGCAGGAACAUAUGGAGUAGAAGCAAUUAGG